rnacentral:rRNA from 1 species
AUUGAACGCUGGCGGCAGGCCUAACACAUGCAAGUCGAGCGAGCGGCGGACGGGUGAGUAAUGUCUGGGAAACUGCCUGAUGGAGGGGGAUAACUACUGGAAACGGUAGCUAAUACCGCAUACCAUCAGAUGUGCCCAGAUGGGAUUAGCUAGUCGGUGGGGUAAUGGCUCACCUAGGCGACGAUCCCUAGCUGGCCUGAGAGGAUGACCGGCCACACUGGAACUGAGACACGGUCCAGACUCCUACGGGAGGCAGCAGUGGGGAAUAUUGCACAAUGGGCGCAAGCCUGACGCAGCCAUGCCGCGUGUAUGAAGAAGGUUUUCGGGUUGUAAAGUACUGUCAGCGGGGAGGCGUUACCUGAAGAAGAAGCCCCGGCUAACUCCGUGCCAGCCGCCGCGGUAAUAC